UACGGAGGGGGCGAGCGUUAUUCGGAAUUAUUGGGCGUAAAGGGCGCGUAGGCGGCUGAACAAGUCAAAGGUGAAAUCCCUCGGCUCAACUGAGGAACUGCCUUUGAAACUGUUCGGCUUGAGGCCGGGAGGGGUAGCGGAAUUCCCAGUGUAGCGGUGAAAUGCGUAGAUAUUGGGAGGAACACCAGUGGCGAAGGCGGCUACCUGGACCGGUUCUGACGCUGAGGCGCGAAAGCGUGGGUAGCAAACAGG
rnacentral:rRNA from 1 species